rnacentral:rRNA from 1 species
GACGAACGCUGGCGGCGUGCUUAACACAUGCAAGUCGAACGGAAAGGCCCUGCUUUUGUGGGGUGCUCGAGUGGCGAACGGGUGAGUAACACGUGAGUAACCUGCCCUUGACUUUGGGAUAACUUCAGGAAACUGGGGCUAAUACCGGAUAGGAGCUCCUGCUGCAUGGUGUGGGUUGGAAAGUUUCGGCGGUUGGGGAUGGACUCGCGGCUUAUCAGCUUGUUGGUGGGGUAGUGGCUUACCAAGGCUUUGACGGGUAGCCGGCCUGAGAGGGUGACCGGCCACAUUGGGACUGAGAUACGGCCCAGACUCCUACGGGAGGCAGCAGUGGGGAAUAUUGCACAAUGGGCGGAAGCCUGAUGCAGCAACGCCGCGUGCGGGAUGACGGCCUUCGGGUUGUAAACCGCUUUCGCCUGUGACGAAGCGUGAGUGACGGUAGUGGGUAAAGAAGCACCGGCUAACUACGUG